CGUGUGUUGUAAACAUCAACAACGAAUUCGAGUGUUCACGUUGAAGAAUAAAUACGAUGAGUGUAGCUCGGCUCAGUGGGAUCCUUUUUUGAAGAGACGCGCGCCGACGUUGGAGGGGCGACCGCAUCGAUUAGGAUCGUGACAACCUGGCGAACGGCUCGGAGCGUGACUCCCCUUGGAGUUGUGGGGGUGGUGGCGGCAGUGGCCGUAGACCCCUCACCUCCAUUAUCGAACACCUACGCUCCUCCAAAGGCAGACUUCACAAUGUAUUGCACUACGACCGGACGAGUUCAUCGUACCGACCGCAACCCUGAACUUCACGGCAGUGCGUUAAAGUGAUAUAGGACCAAGCCAGUCGACGUCCGUGUACUGCUUUUGUAUAUGUUUCUGCGUGCGUGCGUACGUGCGUUCGUGCGUGUCUACCUAUUCACGUGCGUGUAUAUGAGUGCACGCGCGUGCGCGCUAAGGCCGCUGGCAUUAAAUUCGCUAACGAACGUUACGUGGUUUAUAAUCGCUUAGCGGGCCGAACCGUAACGAUUACACGAAGAAUUAUAGUCGUCCACUGUCGCGGAGGAUUCUACGCGUUUUCAUCAGGGACCAUCUCUCUCUUUUAACUCGAAAAGAUUAACAGUCCGAUCCCUUUAGACUCGGAACGCCUUCUCGACGCCUUCGGAGCCGCUCCUUCGAUGAUAAUCGCGAUAUCGUUAACGAUGAAAAUAAAUAAUAAAAUAAAUCACGUAGCUUCUGU